rnacentral:rRNA from 1 species
GACGAAGGAUGCAAGCGUUAUCCGGCUUCAUUGGGUUUAAAGGGAGCGUAGGUGGCUUUGUAAGUCAGUGGUGAAAUCUGGCAGCUUAACUGUUAAAUUGCCAUUGAUACUGCAGAGCUUGAGUACAGAUGCCGUUGGCGGAAUAUGACAUGUAGUGGUGAAAUACAUAGAGAUGUCAUAGAACACCGAUUGCGAAGGCAGCUGACGAAACUGUAACUGACACUGAGGCUCGAAAGUGUGGGGAUCAAACAGG